ACGCUGGCGGCAGGCCUAACACAUGCAAGUCGAGCGGUAGCACAGGAGAGCUUGCUCUCUGGGUGACGAGCGGCGGACGGGUGAGUAAUGUCUGGGAAACUGCCUGAUGGAGGGGGAUAACUACUGGAAACGGUAGCUAAUACCGCAUGACCUCGCAAGAGCAAAGUGGGGGACCUUCGGGCCUCACGCCAUCGGAUGUGCCCAGAUGGGAUUAGCUAGUAGGUGGGGUAAUGGCUCACCUAGGCGACGAUCCCUAGCUGGUCUGAGAGGAUGACCAGCCUCACUGGAACUGAGACACGGUCCAGACUCCUACGGGAGGCAGCAGUGGGGAAUAUUGCACAAUGGGCGCAAGCCUGAUGCAGCCAUGCCGCGUGUGUGAAGAAGGCCUUAGGGUUGUAAAGCACUUUCAGCGAGGAGGAAGGCGUUGUAGUUAAUAGCUGCAGCGAUUGACGUUACUCGCAGAAGAAGCACCGGCUAACUCCGUGCCAGCAGCCGCGGUAAUACGGAGGGUGCAAGCGUUAAUCGGAAUUACUGGGCGUAAAGCGCACGCAGGCGGUUUGUUAAGUCAGAUGUGAAAUCCCCGAGCUUAACUUGGGAACUGCAUUUGAAACUGGCAAGCUAGAGUCUUGUAGAGGGGGGUAGAAUUCCAGGUGUAGCGGUGAAAUGCGUAGAGAUCUGGAGGAAUACCGGUGGCGAAGGCGGCCCCCUGGACAAAGACUGACGCUCAGGUGCGAAAGCGUGGGAGCAAAC
rnacentral:rRNA from 1 species